rnacentral:rRNA from 1 species
GACGAACGCUGGCGGCAUGCCUAACACAUGCAAGUCGAACGGAGUUAUUAUUCAGAAGUUCUUCGGGAUGGAAGGAUAAGAACUUAGUGGCGGACGGGUGAGUAACGCGUGGGUAACCUGCCCUUUUGUGGGGAACAACUUCGAGAAAUCGGAGCUAAUACCGCAUAAUAAUAGAGGAUCGCAUGAUUCUUUAAGGAAAGAUGGCCUCUGAAGAUGCUAUCGCAAAAGGAUGGACCCGCGUCUGAUUAGCUAGUUGGAAGGGUAACGGCCUACCAAGGCAACGAUCAGUAGCCGGCCUGAGAGGGUGAACGGCCACAUUGGGACUGAGACACGGCCCAAACUCCUACGGGAGGCAGCAGUGGGGAAUCUUCCGCAAUGGGCGAAAGCCUGACGGAGCAAUGCCGCGUGAGUGAAGAAGGCCUUCGGGUUGUAAAACUCUGUCCUUAUCGAAGAGAGGUAGGUAUGUGAAUAAUGUACCUAUAGGACGGUAGAUAAGGAGGAAGCCCCGGCUAACUACGUGCCAGCAGCCGCGGUAAUACGUAGGGGGCGAGCGUUGUCCGGAAUCACUGGGCGUAAAGGGCGCGUAGGCGGUUUAAUAAGUCAGUGGUGAAAACUGAGGGCUCAACCCUCAGCCUGCCACUGAUACUGUUAGACUUGAGUAUGGAAGAGGAGAAUGGAAUUCCUAGUGUAGCGGUGAAAUGCGUAGAUAUUAGGAGGAACACCAGUGGCGAAGGCGAUUCUCUGGGCCAAGACUGACGCUGAGGCGCGAAAGCGUGGGGAGCAAACAGGAUUAGAUACCCUGGUAGUCCACGCCGUAAACGAUGGAUACUAGGUGUUAGUAGUUUCGAUGCUACUAGUGCCGGAGUAAACACAAUAAGUAUCCCGCCUGGGGAGUACGGUCGCAAGACUGAAACUCAAAGGAAUUGACGGGGGCCCGCACAAGCGGUGGAGCAUGUGGUUUAAUUCGACGCAACGCGAAGAACCUUACCAAGACUUGACAUCCUCCUGACAAGAUAUGUAAUGUAUCUCUUUUCUUCGGAGACAGGAGAGACAGGUGGUGCAUGGUUGUCGUCAGCUCGUGUCGUGAGAUGUUGGGUUAAGUCCCGCAACGAGCGCAACCCUUAUUUCUAGUUGCCAGCAGUAAGAUGGGGACUCUAGAGAGACUGCCAGUGACAAACUGGAGGAAGGUGGGGAUGACGUCAAAUCAUCAUGCCCCUUAUGUCUUGGGCUACACACGUGCUACAAUGGUCAGAACAGAGGGAAGCGAAGCCGCGAGGUGGAGCAAAUCCCAGAAAACUGAUCUCAGUUCGGAUUGCAGGCUGCAACCCGCCUGCAUGAAGUCGGAAUCGCUAGUAAUCGCGGGUCAGCAUACCGCGGUGAAUACGUUCCCGGGCCUUGUACACACCGCCCGUCACACCACGAAAGUUAGUAACACCCGAAGCCGGUGGCCUAACCCGCAAGGGAGGGAGCUGUCGAAGGUGGGACUGAUGAUUGGGGUGAAGUCGUAACAAGGUAGCCGUAUCGGAAGGUGCGGCUGGAUCACCUCCUUUCUAAGGAGCAGCGAGAGCUGCGAGGAAGAAUCGACGUUUGGUGGAGUGAGAAGCUGAUCAACUGUUUAAUUUUGAGGGAACUUCAAGAGAGAAGGGAACUCAGAAAGAGAAGGUUCUUUGAAAACUACACAAUGUAUAACGGAAGUUUUUCUGAAAGAAAAGCAAGGUAAGAAAAAGAAUUCCGACCGAGAGAAAGAGAAAGACAGAAAUCUGAAACGAGAGUGGAAGAGAAGAAAGAGGUUAUGUAUAAUACAUUCGCAGUAUUGUGCAUAGAGAGGUCCGCCUAUAGAGAUAUAGGGAGACGAAAAGGUCAAGCGAAGAAGGGCAUACGGUGGAUGCCUUGGCACUAAGAGCCGAAGAAGGACGCGGUAAGCUGCGAAAAGCUACGACGAGCUGCAAGCAAGCUGAGACUCGUAGAUAUCCGAAUGGGAAAACCUGUAUGGAAUAAUAUUCAUACAUCCUGUAAUGAAUCCAUAGUUAUAGGAAGGCAACCUGGGGAACUGAAACAUCUAAGUACCCAGAGGAAGAGAAAGAAAAAUCGAUUCCCUCAGUAGCGGCGAGCGAAGCGGGAAGAGCCCAAACCAACUCUUAGGAGUUGGGGUUGUAGGACUCUCAGAAUUGAUGGAUGCUUAGUCGAAUGGUCUGGGAAGGCCAAUCAUAGAAGGUAAGAAUCCUGUAGACGAAAAGCAGAAAGAGAGGAGAGUAUCCUGAGUACCACGAGGCACGUGAAAUCUAGUGGGAAGCAGGGGGGCCCACCCCCCAAGGCUAAAUACUCCUUAGUGACCGAUAGAGAACA